CCUUUUCUGCAGAUAAAAACUUUAUUUCCUUUUCUAAUUUAAAUUAACGUAUCGUUACACUUAUACAAAAUAUCUAUUACAUUUGUACACAACCUAUAAAAUAGGAACAAAUUUUAUUUCUAAAGCAAUUUUGUAAAUACGAUCUCAUAUAUUUGCUAAUUUCGUUAAUUUCUAACGAUAGUAGUAGUUAUAACAAAUCAUUUUAUUAAGAAAUCAGAUAAUUUGAGAAACUGCAAUUCUACGCUCAAGUAACCAGUACAAUUAUAUGAAAGUAUCAUUUUUAUGAACCCAUUAAUAUUAAUAUCAGUCCAGCGAUAUUAAUAUUUUAUUGAAUAAUUUCUGCAAAAAGGAAAUAUAAUACUAUUGAAGCAAUGAAGCCCUUGCAACCAAUGAAGUUGUUUUUACAUUCAAUAACAUCAUCUUUAGUCAUUGUUACUACAAUACACUACUUUUGGUAUAUUUUUCAAAAGAAUUAUGUGCCAAAAGAUCAACAAGCUGAAAUUCCUAUUCUUGUGAUGUUAAGACGUUUUAUAAAAAAGGAUAAUAGUAAAAAACCAGAUGAUACAAAUUAAUGUAUUGUUAAAUUUAAGUGUAACGUAUACUUCUAUUUAUUAUAAUAAAAAAUAAUGCUGAAGAAAUAUAUAUUCAUCAUAAUUUUCAUUCUGACAUAAGUGAUGUAAUUAUUGAAAAAGAAAUAGAUAGACAAACUAUUGACUUGGUUGUUAA
rnacentral:lncRNA from 1 species